ensembl:snRNA U1 U1 spliceosomal RNA
AGACCUACCUGGCAGGGGAGAUACCAUGAUCACGAAGGUGGUUUUCCCAGGGCGAGGCUCAUCCAUUGCACUCCGGAUGUGCUGACCCCUGCGAUUUCCCCAAAUGUGGGAAACUCGACUGCAUAAUUUGUGGUAGUGGGGGACUGCGUUCGUGCUUUCCCCUG